GAUGAACGCUGGCGGCGUGCCUAAUACAUGCAAGUCGAGCGAACAGACGAGGAGCUUGCUCCUCUGACGUUAGCGGCGGACGGGUGAGUAACACGUGGAUAACCUACCUAUAAGACUGGGAUAACUUCGGGAAACCGGAGCUAAUACCGGAUAAUAUAUUGAACCGCAUGGUUCAAUAGUGAAAGACGGUUUUGCUGUCACUUAUAGAUGGAUCCGCGCCGCAUUAGCUAGUUGGUAAGGUAACGGCUUACCAAGGCAACGAUGCGUAGCCGACCUGAGAGGGUGAUCGGCCACACUGGAACUGAGACACGGUCCAGACUCCUAAGGGAGGCAGCAGUAGGGAAUCUUCCGCAAUGGGCGAAAGCCUGACGGAGCGACGCCGCGUGAGUGAUGAAGGUCUUCGGAUCGUAAAACUCUGUUAUUAGGGAAGAACAAAUGUGUAAGUAACUAUGCACGUCUUGACGGUACCUAAUCAGAAAGCCACGGCUAACUACGUG
rnacentral:rRNA from 1 species